rnacentral:rRNA from 1 species
AUACGGAAGGUCCGGGCGUUAUCCGGAUUUAUUGGGUUUAAAGGGAGCGCAGGCGGAGAUGCAAGCGUGACGUCAAAUUUCGGGGCUCAACCCCGUCUCGCGUCGCGAACUGCGUCCCUUGGUUGCGGGAAGGGGAGGCGGAACUCGUGGUGUAGCGGUGAAAUGCAUAGAUAUCACGAAGAACUCCGAUCGCGAAGGCAGCCAUCCGGCCCGGCAACGACGGUCAUGCUCGAAGGUGCGGGUAUCAAACAGGAUUAGAUGCCCUGGUAGUCCGCACAGUAAACGAUGGACACCCGCGGUUUGGCCUGUAUGGCUGAGCCGCCAAGCGAAAGCGUUAAGUGUCCCACCUGGGGAGUACGCCGGCAACGGUGAAACUCAAAGGAAUUGACGGGG